rnacentral:lncRNA from 15 species
ACCCACCCUAACAGACAGCACGUGUGGGCCCAAGGCCUGGCCAGAGUGACGCGAACUUGGUUUCCUCAGGAUGGACGACAGUGAGGCCUGCAGCAACCAGAGGGGCAGUGGAACGACAAAAACAUCCUCUGCUCCCCCUCACGUACCUGCCCCCCUCAGCCUUGUCCCUUUCCACGCUCCGAUGCUUGUUUUCAGGAAGACCAGGCUUCCUGCGUGAUGGAGCGGUGGAUGAGAGGAGGAAGAGGGGGAUGGGACAGAGAGGAAAAGACAGACACAGAGAGAGAUGGAUAGGGAUGAGGUGACGGUCCUGUGCACGUAGUGAUUUGGGGGAGUUUUUUGCGUUGGUUGCUUCCCUGACAGCUACAGGCAGCUGUGAGGGAGUCUGAGAAAAGGAAAGAUUACAGUACAAAUCUUCUGCGUAGAUGAAAAACUUGAAACAACUGAGAAGUCUUGUGUCAGGAAGGCAGGCAGGGAGUGGGCUAAUGUGUUACUGAACUUAAUGUGAGCAUUUUGUAAGCCUGUAUAGAAAUCAAGUUGGAACUUGGACCUGGAGUUUUGUUCUUUCACAUGUACAAACCUUCCUGUUCUUCUGUUUGUGUUGGGAAAUACUGAGCAAUGGGACAAUCAGCACAGAACACGGACACCAGCAGAGUCCAUAUGUUUGGCGUGUCUCUUUCGGUGCCCUCAGUGAGGUUUCUGUCCUGCAGUAGAAACCAGGGGAGUGAGUGGCGCUCGUACGAUGCAAGAGUUUAAAUACUUCAGGGAUGGGGCUACAGUGGUGAUUUCAUUCGAUGGUUUGAACUGGCUUUCUAAAAGGAGAUGCAGUGAGAAAGGAACCAAGAGAAGGGAUGAAGAGCUCCAGUCGUUGAUGACCUCAGGUCAGAUGAUCCGGGCUGCUGAGGAGCAGCCGAUCACAUGCUUCUGUAUCCUUGAACAAAGAGGAAGUACAGCCCCUCAGUUAUGGAGGAACAGUGACUGUAGAUCAAGCUUGGUAACAUGGCCGCCAUCCCUCUCUAUCUCCCUUCAACACUGUUGUCUUCCGAAGGAGCCCAGACAUCGUUCAAAGUUCACUCCUUUAGCUUCUUUUGUGUCAAACUUCCCGAAGGAGGCCCAGUGGAUGAGACUUAUUUUAAAUAUGCGGGACAUUUUCAGUUUUAUGAAAAAGGAUUUAAACAUUGUGACCCUGCAGGACACUCUUACAUUAGAUCAUAAUAGCUUUAUCAUUUUCUGUGACGAGGACAUACUGCUGCAACGCUUUGGUGACACUGAGGAUUGUAGGACGUCUAUAGGGGAUACUGGUUGGAGUAUCAGUGAAAACAACAUGUUAAGUGAUUUGAAAAUCUCCACAGCCCACUGGCCCCGCAGUCCCAGCACCGACAACUCAAAGGAGAUUCAACAUGAACCGGUCUGCAGAGACAGUUUUAACACAUGCAACUUUAAAAGUCUUCUGAAAUCCUGUCGAAUCUGCAGCGCUCCACAGGUUUUGUCUGGGAGGGACAGGAAUGUAAAAAAGAAAAAGAGCGUGUCCUUUGAUGAUGAUGUCACAGUCUACCUGUUUGAUCAGGAGAGUCCCACCGUGGAGCUGCACUCUGGGCCCUGCACAUCUCUGCCAAGCAGCUAUUCCUGCAACCUGCCAGAUGUCAUAUUAGAAGACAGUGGUUUGGAGUGGGAGGACGACUUCUCAGCCUUGGAGAAGAGCUGCCAUUUUCAGUGUGUCAGACACUCGAUAUCUCAGCAAUACACCCUUUCCUUGCCAGAGCAGAGCUGCACUGCUCUGCCCAGGCGUUUCUGUCUGUCCCAAACCUGCCUGUUCCUCACCCAUGUCACUGAGUCAGACCUUGAGCUGUGAGAUAAAGGACAGCCAGCCUUGGCCUAAUGGAAAAACUGACUAAUCAUCCAGAUCUCGUCCUCCUCACCUCUAACUCGUCUGCCCACCCACCCCCCUCCUCUUUUACGAUGAGUCAGGGAUUUUAAUGGAUUUUUUCCCUCCCUCUUCUCCAAAUGGAUUCAUAGCACCUGGCGUUCAUGACAUCACAGCCACGCAGGACUGUGUGACAGUGCAUUCAGCCUUCACAGUUGUUGGUAUUACACGAUCACUGGCUAUGAUGUGAUAAAACAGCCAGUUGCCUAACAGUGCUGGUACCUUUCCAGCUGUAAACCUGUUUGGAAGCUGUUUUCCAUGCCAGGUUGUGUCCUUGGACCUGAAACAUUAAUGUUUUAAAUUCCAAAUUACAUGAGUUUAAUAAACUGUCAUUAGUGUCUGGAAUCCCAUUUUAUCUUUAAAUUGUUGUAUUCAGCAAAUUCCAGGUUAAUCUUGGGACUAUACUAAGACUAUACUGUUGUUUAUACAGUUUGUUUUGCUAAAACAGAGCAUGCUUGUGGAGGCCCUGUUUGCUUGUCUCAUUACUGAAGUGUAUUCAGCUAAGAAUUUAUCAGCGGCUGUGGCUAAAUAAACAGUGUAAGCCUUAGGGCCAAUGGAGGCAGAAACUGAACAAACUAAAAGUAAUAGAUAAUGUUUCCACAGAGCCAGCAUCAGCAAGGUUUGGUUGAUUAGAUAUAGUGUACCUGAAGAGGAAAGGAAACCUGGCAGGACCAGUCUUAGUACACACACACACACACACACACACACACACACACACACACACACACACACACACAAGCUGUUCAAGGACAAAAAAAGCUAAUAAAAAGAGCUGGGAGCUUCACACCUGUAGCUACAGUAUUGUUGUUGUUACACAUUUGUAAUACUCAGUGUUAAUGUUACUAACAGUCAAAUUACACUGAUGUUCUUUAUCCAUAAACUGAUCCUGGUUAAUGGCUUAUUUUUAACUAGGCUACCAUAAAGUAGGCUAUAUUUCUAUUAUUGCUACUUUUAUUUAAAACUAGUUAAAUUUGCUCUGUCAGGUUCUUCUUUAAGCUAAUGUGCCACUUAGCCUUAGAUUUGUUACAUUAAAAAGUAAAGCAUCAGAAUUAUUUAGUAAUACGCUAUUUAGACAGAAACUAAACAAAAAAUGUUAAGUAAUCAACAUUUCCCCCUUAUUAAUUCAUUAAAUACUUUACGUAUGUUGCUGCUACACUGUUGCUACAUUUUCUGGUUAAGCUGCGCUUCCUAGCUGCUAGCUGCUAGCUUGCGCAUGGCUCUUGCUCAGUGUGUCGCUGUGGCUCAGAAACUUCAUGGUUUUAUAUGAAAAAGUUCUAAAUUAACUUAAGAGGACAUUUCUUAGCUUUAAACUUCACAAAUUUGGAAAUAAUGCAUGGGAAGAACACAAUAUCUACUGCGUUCAGUCUGCCAACAUUAAACACCUUUGUUGUUUACAAUAUUUAAUACAUUAGUUAAAAAAGAAGAAACCUACAGUUAUUUGAUAACAGAUGUUAUUAUCAGAUUAGUCAAAUUAUCAACAAAUAAAAAUGAACAUGAUAGAGGGCAGAACUAUAAGCUUGUAAUAGAAAUUUAUCUAAAAUGCUUUUAAACCAGUUACAUUUUCCUUUUCUUUAAGUUAGAAGUUUACUUUCAAUAAUUCAGUUUAAUCUAAUGUAAGAAGUGGAUAUUUAUUCAUUUGGAUUUUUAAAUAGAUAUAUAUAUUUGAUAGUUGAUAGUUUAAGAAUAAAAUAUAAAAAACAUACUAUAGGUAUGGAAAAGACAGGCGUCUAGAAAAAGCCUCAAGAGACUGUGGGUUAUUUCUGAUUCACACUGUGCUGUGAAACAUGAUUUGACUGUAUGAAUGGUCAGUCAGUAUAUCUCACUGCCAUGACACCACCCUUUCUCUACUCCACUAUCUAUCACAGUCCGAAGGGACAAUAAUCCCAACUGCCAACAGUUGUGUUUUGGUCCCCCAGGUCAAACAGACAAGGUGGGAUACAGCAGAUCACACACACAAGAGGGGAAGGGGUGUGUUUGUUGGUCAUUAUUUAAAAAGGUUUACUGUGUUAUGUGUGUUCUGUCCUUUUUUUUCCCGGCCGUUUUGAUCAGCGCAGUAGUUUGACGGCAUCUGUUAGCUGUCAUUACAGGAAAAACAACAGUGUUGUGCAAAAAGUUUGUUAGUCUGGUAAAAAGUAAAUAAUGUGACAAAGUUUAAAUUAGGCCUGGCCCUGCCUCUGUACAUUCAGGUUUAGCCUGGAGGACUGUAUUCAAAUAAAGCAGCGGAGGGUGAUAAGCCACAAUGGAAAUUAUGUUAACUGCUUAGAGUUAAAGGAGUGGAUGAGGAACAAAAACACAGGGUUUCCGUUGACUGUCUCAUUUGACUUAGAAUAGGCCAAGAAUUAAAUAUUAGAUAGAGUUCAACCCAUCAUCUGCAGAGUGUCACCUUUUUCCUACAAAACUUGCAACUUAAUUUAGUUUUCCUUCAAAUCACAUACAUUCAUGUAAAUUACUUUUAGUGGCUUUUAAAAGAGACUGUAAAACUAUGAUACAACGCCAUGGUGCUAACUCUGUGAUGUUUCUACUUCAGGUAUAAUGAUAUUUGGAAAAACACAUUUCCUUUACAUUUUAUGUAUGUACAUUCACUCAAGCACAUACACUUUUGACUUUACUUGUGUAUUUCCAUUUUGUGCUGCUUUAUACUUCUACUCCACUUAGAGGGAAAUACUGUACUGUUUACAUCACUACAUUUGUUUAAUCGCUGUACUUUUUCAAUUGUACACAUUCAGUCAGUUUAUAAAAUAUGUUGCAUUGCUACAAAUUAAACUACCCUGUGGUAUAUAAAGCAGUUAAAAUAAGUGCCACUGCUUAAUGCAUCAGUCAUUAUGGUGUGAUAACAACAGACUGGAGCCAGUGGCCAUGGUGAGUAUGCUGUGUACAUUAUGCUGCUGAUACUUUUUAACUUUUAUGUAAAACUUUGAAUACAGACUUUGUUGUUGUUGUUUUUUUUUUACUUUAACUUACAUUUUCUGAAUACUUGUUCCACUACCAAGUGCUGGGUUGUCAAAUAAUGUGGUCAAACAUUUCUUUCUUUCUUUCCUAUUAGGAUAGGCCAUUUUUGCACAAAGCCAGAAAUCAUGUAGUGUUGUGACAUUGUUGCAGCAUUUGGAGAGAGAGAGAGAGAGAGAGAGAGAGAGAGAGAGAGAGAGAGAGAGAGAGAGAGAGAGAGAGAGCACAGAGCUGGAGGGAGCGGGCUGGCUCUGUGAUUGGCUGAGCAGCGCUACGUGUACAUCAGUCAGCUACAGGUAGCUCACAUGUGACAGUUAUCAGAUUGUGUGUGUGAGUGUGUGUGUGUGUGUGAGUGUGUGUGUGAGUGUGUGUGCGUGUGUGUGUGCGCGCUGCACGGCUCCGCUCUGCUCUUUACGCGAUGGUGCUGUGGAUGAGCGGCUGCAUGGGGACGGCGUUUCUGUAAACACUCGGGAGGAAAGUUAGUGUUAAUAACUUCCAAG